UGGCGGCCUCGGGUCCAUCCCGAGGCCACGCCCGUCUGAGGGUCGGCGAGUCAGACAAGCUAUCGCCUCCUUUCGUGGCAGCAGGCUUCCGCACUGAAGGCGUCCGCUUUUCUCGUCCAUUUCUUGCUCUGGAAUGACGAGGAGACGGUCGCUAGAAUGUGGUUGGGUGCCGUGGAGGCGCUUUGGGUUUUCGCGGAUCACUUGUGAUCCCCGUGACUUCAAGUGCAUGCUGCGCCGUCUGUCAUCUCGUGACGUCUCGGUGCCCGGAACAGCUCUGACUAUUUAGUUUUCCGGGCACUGGCGACAUAGGCGAGGGAGAAAUUUUAUUUCUUUCCUAACCGACGCCGCCGGCCGUCGUGCUGGACUCGGAUUGAUCGGAUAUCAUCGAGCCGCCGGCGUGCUGAAGGCUGCUGGAGGCUUUGGAAGAAUGAAGCUCAUGGCGGCGCCCAGUUAAAGCAGAGCAAGUACGCGUGCUUCCGCACAGCGCCGCUUGCUUUGUUCCAUAUAUCCGACCUCAGAUCGGACGAGAUUACCCGCUGAAUUUAAGCAUAUAACUAAGCGGAGGAAAAGAAACUAACAAGGAUUCCCCCAGUAACGGCGAGUGAAGCGGGAAUAGCCCAGCACCGAAUCCCUCAGUGUCAUGCUGACGGGAACUGUGGUGUGUGGGACGCCACCAGUCGCAUCAGAGGGCGCCGAAGUCCUCCUGAUCGGGGCUUCACCCAGAGCGGGUGUAAGGCCUUUGCGGGUGCCUCUCUGUGCGGCCGCGAGCGUCUCAGGAGUCGGGUUGUUUGGGAAUGCAGCCCAAAGCGGGUGGUAAACUCCAUCUAAGGCUAAAUACUGGCACGAGUCCGAUAGCGGA
rnacentral:rRNA from 1 species